rnacentral:rRNA from 1 species
UGUGUGACGAAGGCCUUAGGGUCGUAAAGCACUUUCGCCAGAGAUGAUAAUGACAGUAUCUGGUAAAGAAACCCCGGCUAACUCCGUGCCAGCAGCCGCGGUAAUACGGAGGGGGUUAGCGUUGUUCGGAAUUACUGGGCGUAAAGCGUACGUAGGCGGAUUAGUAAGUUAGAGGUGAAAUCCCAGGGCUCAACCCUGGAACUGCCUUUAAUACUGCUAGUCUAGAGUUCGAGAGAGGUGAGUGGAAUUCCAAGUGUAGAGGUGAAAUUCGUAGAUAUUUGGAGGAACACCAGUGGCGAAGGCGGCUCACUGGCUCGAUACUGACGCUGAGGUACGAAAGUGUGGGGAGCAAACAGGAUUAGAUACCCUGGUAGUCCACACCGUAAACGAUGAAUGCCAGUCGUCGGGUAGUAUACUAUUCGGUGACACACCUAACGGAGUAAGCAUUCCGCCUGGGGAGUACGGUCGCAAGAUUAAAAC